rnacentral:rRNA from 1 species
GAUGAACGCUGACAGAAUGCUUAACACAUGCAAGUCAACUUGAAUUUGGGUUUUUAACUUAGGUUUGGGUGGCGGACGGGUGAGUAACGCGUAAAGAACCUGCCUCACAGCUAGGGACAACAUUUGGAAACGAAUGCUAAUACCUAAUAUUAUGAUAAUAGGGCAUCCUAUAAUUAUGAAAGCUAUAAGCGCUGUGAGAGAGCUUUGCGUCCCAUUAGCUAGUUGGAGAGGUAACGGCUCACCAAGGCGAUGAUGGGUAGCCGGCCUGAGAGGGUGAUCGGCCACAAGGGGACUGAGACACGGCCCUUACUCCUACGGGAGGCAGCAGUGGGGAAUAUUGGACAAUGGACCGAGAGUCUGAUCCAGCAAUUCUGUGUGCACGAUGAAGUUUUUCGGAAUGUAAAGUGCUUUCAGUUGGGAAGAAACAAAUGACGGUACCAACAGAAGAAGUGACGGCUAAAUACGU